GGGAUGUGCGUUUUGAUCGCUCGAUGUUGACGGGCGAGUCCGACGAAGUCUAGUUCAUCACCUUGACCGAAAGGUCUGGGUAAUCUUGUUAAACUCUGUCGUGCUGGGGAUAGAGCAUUGCAAUUAUUGCUCUUCAACGAGGAAUUCCUAGUAGGCGCGAGUCAUCAGCUCGUGCC
rnacentral:ncRNA from 1 species